UUCACUUUCUCUCUCUCGUCCUUCCCUCUCAGUACGACAGCCAACAAAACCCUUUGACGAUCCUUACCACACCAGACCACCAUGGCAUGUCCCUCUCUGUCUCUCUUUUGUUCUACAUCCCUCCUUCAAACUCUCUAAAAACUCUCUCUGCACUCUUCGUGCACAGUAGCACCACACCACCACUACCCAACUACUCAGGCGAACCAGACUAUGAAAUCAUCAUUGUGCCUUGUCCUUCCUUAUCUAUGUAAAGCUCAAAUCGUGAAGGCAACCCAAUCAUGGAAUUUACUUUGUACAGUGGCUGUGGCAUUGUUCAUCCUUUUUCCCGACCAUGGCAAAAUGCAUCGCAAGGACUCUCGAUGCUACGAGGCUGGUUCAACUCGACAACAUGAUCUUACUUGCCCAGGCUAGGGCCAAGCUUCACGUGGAUGUUCACAUUGCACAGCAUGCUCACCUUGGAUCCAUUGUAGGUGCCAGUCCUGUCGAACAGGUUGCAAUAGGCAACUCCGACUCGUAUGUGAUGCGCUUAGUGCCAGUCUUCAGGUGAUUGUAGUACUAAAGCGUUUAUUAUGAUUACACCCAGUAACGUUCAUGUUAGAUUACUUCUGCAUGAACUCGUGUGUUAGCACGUGUCAAUAAGCACUCGAUGUGAUAUGUUUAUUUAUGCAAGCAUAUGUGAUUAUAGACAUCAUGUGCUUACUUAUGAAAUAUUGUGCCGUAUCGAAUUCUUGAGAUUUUGUAUGCUACGUUAAGUAAUUUCUUACCAUACGUAGUACGUAUAUUUUGGAAA